AUAUUUUAUUAAUAAUUCAACUCUAAAUAAACAUUCAGACACUACUUAAUAAAACACUUAUUAUUAUAUAGAGUAGCAAAAUAUGUAACAUUCACUACAUCAAUAACAAUUCAAUGCUUAUUUAGAAAAUUGGGCAGACUAGAUGGGCUGAAUGGUUCUUAUCUGCCGUCACAUUCUAUGUUUCUAUGGUUGAUAUAGCUCCAGUGAUAAUAGGUAAAAAAAAGGGCAGCAAUAAUAGGAUGACAGACUGCAAAAGAUCAGAACCUUAAAGUGUUACUCCCAGUAUCAUAACAAUUAAUGGUUAUAAUGACAGGAGUACCCUGGCCUGGUUCCCAGCUUAGUAAUGUUUUGCCUCUGUUGUCUGAGUCCCGCCGGGCUACGAGGCUCCCUGGUGGUCAGUGAAGUGCUUUUAUCUGUCACAGCUCUGCAGCUGUGGUGGUUGACAUUCAUAGGCUGAGAGUGUCAGCUGACUGCUCUUACUCAAUGACUAUCAUUCUGUACUACGAAUGUUGCACAGAACAGACAUUAGUCAGCAUGGAAUUCUAGUUCUGGGCUGGCUGAUGACACCUCUAUGAUGCUGCCGGGAGCUGAGAUACACCUCUGGGAGCAGAGUGGUUUCUCAAAUCUAAACAUGUGCAGUGUUUCAAAGCGAUAUGCAGCAUUUACAGAUUCCAGGCACCAUGAUCACUUCAAAUCAGUGAAGUGGCCAUGGUGCUUGGUGAACCCUUUAAACAAAAUGUGCUGUAUAAUAAGCCUAUUCCUAUGCUUUAGGUGUCUAAUGAACACUGUAAAAUAUUGUUUUAUAAGUGAUGAGUGUUCCUAUAGCAGAAAUUAUCUCCUAAGAAAAAGCUUUCAUUUUUAAAUAUAUUUGUGGCAUUAUGGGUGAAUAAUCACAUGUUCAUAUUAAUCAUAGGGUUAGUUUCGAGGUAUUGCACACAUAUUAUAAGCCUUUGGAGGGCUGGUAAACCCAAGUGCAGGGGUGAUGUCAAGCUCUUCACCAGGUGGAGCCUUAAACGUGAAGUUCUGCAGAAGCCGUGUAAAGAACAGGAAUAAUUCCAUUUUUGCUAAAUUCUCUCCAACACAACUUCUUCGACCUAGAAAUAAAAAAAGUGUCUGUGAAUGUUCAAAUACAUUGUUACUUUAUGUACCCCUAGAUACAGUUUGUUUUUCAGCU